rnacentral:pre_miRNA from 7 species
CCUUUUGAAGUCCUUUGAUGAGAGGCAUUUCUGUAAAUGAAAGAACCUAGUGGGGAAACCCCCACUCAGCUCCCGAUUCGGUGUGCACCCAAGAAUCACGAAUAGAACA